GAGUAUGGUAAAAAAAAAAAAAUGCAUACACAAAAGCACGUAAGAAGAUAAUGAUCGAUGCAUUGUUGUGCACCGAUCGUCAUUGUCGAUAUCUACCGUUUAAAACAGGAAGAGAUCAAUCUGUAUACAUGCUGCACUUUAGAAACAUUUCUUUCUUUCAUAGCUAAGCGCUUGCGGCUAAAGAACUUGACUGUUCAAGACCGAAACGCAUUUCUGAGGAAAGAGAUGGAUAACUCAGGGUCAUCGACUUGUUCCGGUCUUGAAGAGAACUUCCGCUUUUUGACACUCGUAAAAAAAAAGUAUGUAUACUUAU
rnacentral:lncRNA from 1 species